rnacentral:rRNA from 1 species
UACGUAGGGUGCGAGCGUUAAUCGGAAUUACUGGGCGUAAAGCGUGCGCAGGCGGUUCGUUAUGUCUGUGGUGAAAGCCCCGGGCUCAACCUGGGAAUGGCCAUGGAAACUGGCGGGCUGGAGUGUGGCAGAGGGGGGUGGAACUCCUGGUGUAGCAGUGAAAUGCGUAGAGAUCAGGAAGAACACCGAUGGCGAAGGCAGCCCCCUGGGCCAACACUGACGCUCAGGCACGAAAGCGUGGGGAGCAAACAGG